CAAUAGCGUAUAUUUAAGUUGUUGCAGUUAAAAAGCUCGUAGUCGGAUUUUGGCUGCGAACGAUCGGUCCGCCGUUAGGUGUGCACUGAUUGGUCUCAGCUUCCUGGUGAGGAGGUGUGCUUCACGGCCACUUAGUCACCGUGGUUACUUUGAAAAAAUUAGAGUGUUCAAAGCGGGCUUACGCUUGAAUAUAUUAGCAUGGAAUAACACCAUAGGACUCCUGUCCUAUUUCGUUGGUCUCGGGACGGGAGUAAUGAUUAAGAGGAACAGUUGGGGGCAUUCGUAUUUCAUUGUCAGAGGUGAAAUUCUUGGAUUUAUGAAAGACGAACUUCUGCGAAAGCAUUUGCCAAGGAUGUUUUCAUUGA
rnacentral:rRNA from 1 species